GAGUGGCAAACGGGUGAGUAACGCGUGGGUGACCUGCCUUCGAGCGGGGGAUAACGUUCCGAAAGGGACGCUAAUACCGCAUAACAUUCCGUCAUUGAAGAGAUGGAAAUCAAAGCUGGGGAGCACUCGAAGAGGGGCCCGCGUCCGAUUAGCUAGUUGGUGAGGUAACGGCUCACCAAGGCAACGAUCGGUAUCCGGCCUGAGAGGGCGGACGGACACACUGGGACUGAGACACGGCCCAGACUCCUACGGGAGGCAGCAGUGGGGAAUUGUUCGCAAUGGGCGCAAGCCUGACGACGCAACGCCGCGUGGAGGAUGAAGAUUUUCGGAUCGUAAACUCCUGUCGAAUGGGACGAAAAGAUCGCGGGUGAACAGCCCGUGAUCCUGACGGUACCGUUAAAGGAAACCCCGGCUAACUCCGUGCCAGCAGCCGCGGUAAUACGGGGGGGGUAAGCGUUGUUCGGAAUUACUGGGCGUAAAGGGCUCGUAGGCGGCCAACUAAGUCGGACGUGAAAUCCCUCAGCUUAACUGGGGAACUGCGUCCGAUACUGGAUGGCUUGGAUUCGGGAGAGGAAUGCGGAAUUCCAGGUGUAGCGGUGAGAUGCGUAGAUAUCUGGAGGAACACCGGUGGCGAAGGCGGCAUUCUGGACCGACAU
rnacentral:rRNA from 1 species